rnacentral:rRNA from 1 species
UACGGGGGGAGCAAGCGUUGUUCGGAUUUACUGGGCGUAAAGGGCGCGUAGGCGGCUUGACAAGUGGCGGGUGAAAUCCCUCGGCUUAACCGAGGAACUGCCUGCCAGACUGUCUUGCUUGAGACCGGGAGAGGUGAGUGGAAUUCCCAGUGUAGCGGUGAAAUGCGUAGAUAUUGGGAGGAACACCAGUGGCGAAGGCGGCUCACUGGACCGGAACUGACGCUGAGGCGCGAAAGCGUGGGGAGCAAACAGG